ensembl:lncRNA
GUCACAUGCGACCACACACUGUAUGAUUCCAUUUACGUGAAAUGUUCACAAUAGAUCCAGAGAGACAGAAAGACUAGUGGUUGCCUAGGACUGGGGGAUUUCAGGGGAAAUGAGGGAGUCACUGCUAAUGGGUGCAGGUUUUUCUUUUGGGGGUGAUGAAAAUGUCCUAAAAUUGAUUAUCAUGAUGGUUGCACAACUCUGUGAAUAUACAAAAAAGCCGUUGAAUUGUUCACUUAAAUGGGUGAAUGUGAAUUAUAUCUUAAUAAAGCAGUUAUAAAAAAAAAUAGGGAGAGACUAUACUCAAAGCAACUCAGCAAGAAUCAGACACAUAAUGAAACAAGAAAGUAAAGGCCAGGGCCUCUGAGCAGAGACUGGGUGACCUUACCCAAGUUGUUUGCUGUAGAAUCCUCGUGGGGGGAGUCUGAGACCCGGAACCCACCAUGGCCCCAUGGUAGGUCAGGAGCUGUCAUUGACCAUCUCGCAGUGUAACUGCUCGUCUCACCUUUUCCUGGGGAGCAUUUGAUUUCUGCAGACACCUCCCCUCCACACGUGUAGGCACACGCAGCUCCUUCCGUGUCACUGGCCUCUGAGCCUCACACUUGUGUUGCAAAGCCUUUUAUUUUUAGUCCAGACGUUACUGUAACUGGGGCAACGGGAGCGCCUUAGGCCAGUACGCCUUCAGCAACAGGUGCUUUUGUACCCGGUGGCCCCUGCCACCAGAUCAUCCUCUUGACACUGGAUGAACACCUGUUGGCCUUCAAUGGGGCCGGCUCACAGGGUUCCUGAGAACUGUUUGCCUCCCAGGUUGCGCAGAAAACAGCACAAAGGUGGGGAAAGUGGGAGCUCCUCCAUCCUCUCUACAACCAGUGCCAUCUGCUGGCAAAACGGCAGCGCAGGGAAUGUGGCGGAUUCUCCAGCUUGCCUGUCCUUCCCUGCCUUGGAACCUGUGUUCCAUUGCACAGCGGGUAAUGUUCAUCCCUUAGUUCAGUUCUCUUAGGCCUGAGUUAAAAUUAGGCCGGAUUCUUACACUGGGACCCAUAAGGAAAAGGGCACACGUCUUAAGUAUUGAGCCCGAUGCAUUUUCAUAUACCUCGCUCCUUAGGGCAACCAGCACCAGGUCAAGCCACAGAGCGUGAUUAUCCCCAGCAACCUCCUCUGUGCCCCCUUCCACUCACUGUCCCCCCAUGAGAAAGUUACCAGCCUGACUGCUAAGAAUAGAUUCGUUUUGCCUGGUUUUGUAUCUUCUAUUACAAGGUUGAGCCAGCUGGAGCAUCCUGUGUGCAGUUUUGUAAUGCAGCACUCCAGGUGACUAAAGGGGUUCUGCCCACUGGAGCAGAGCUGAGCAUCACUGGGGUACCACUGUCCUCCCACAGUCCUCUCCCUCCUCAUUAACCUCCUCCGCCCAUCAGGAUGAUCCAUCAUUGGCCUGAAAGCCUCAAACAAAAUCGUGUGAUCAUUUUGGGAGAUGCAGCUAACAUCACUGAGCGCUUACUCUGUGCCAGGCACCAGGAUAAGCACUUUACCCACACACCUCUCUUCUUUCCCACAAGGAGCCUAUGCUCAUUUACCUUAAGCUGAGCAGAGAGUGUAAUGUGCUCAGAGUUGCAGAGCCAGUGGCCGGCAGACCCCAGCUUUUGUGACUCUACACUGGUGGUCUCCUCACCCCUCAAGCUGCCCUCUAGAGAUGGUGCGAGCCAGCACAAAUGAGGUUCCCAGACCGUUGAUACAGAAAAGUGCUCUUAUCAGGAGUGUGCAGUGUGACGCAUUUUCAUAAAGUGAACACACCGAUGUACCCCCUUCCCAGUAGCCUGCCUUCAGGCUCCCUUCUAAGUAUGAGGUCCCCCCAGGGUCACCACGCUCCUGACUUCUAGCAGCAAAGGUUAGUUUUCUCUGUUUUUGGACUUUUUAUAGAAAUGGUUUCAUACAGUAUGAACUCUUUUAUAUAUGACUUGUUUUGCUCAAUUUUCUAUACAUGGGUCAUCU